rnacentral:rRNA from 1 species
UACAGGAGGGGCAAGCGUUAUUCGGAAUUAUUGGGCGUAAAGGGCGCGUAGGCGGCCUUGCAAGUGACGGGUGAAAUCCCUCGGCUUAACCGAGGAACUGCCUGUCAAACUGCGUGGCUUGAGACCAGGAGAGGUGAGUGGAAUUCCCAGUGUAGCGGUGAAAUGCGUAGAUAUUGGGAGGAACACCAGUGGCGAAGGCGGCUCACUGGACUGGUACUGACGCUGAUGCGCGAAAGCGUGGGGAGCAACAGGG